rnacentral:rRNA from 1 species
UAGGUUAACGAGGCGAACCGGGGGAACUGAAACAUCUAAGUACCCCGAGGAAAAGAAAUCAACCGAGAUUCCCCCAGUAGCGGCGAGCGAACGGGGAGCAGCCCAGAGUCUGAAUCAGCUUGUGUGUUAGUGGAACGGUCUGGAAAGUCCGACGGUACAGGGUGAUAGUCCCGUACACCAAAAUGCACAGGCUGUGAACUCGAAGAGUAGGGCGGGACACGUGGUAUCCUGUCUGAAUAUGGGGGGACCAUCCUCCAAGGCUAAAUACUCCUGACUGACCGAUAGUGAACCAGUACCGUGAGGGAAAGGCGAAAAGAACCCCGGCGAGGGGAGUGAAAAAGAACCUGAAACCGUGUACGUACAAGCAGUGGGAGCACCUUCGGGUGUGACUGCGUACCUUUUGUAUAAUGGGUCAGCGACUUAUAUUCUGUAGCAAGGUUAACCGUAUAGGGGAGCCGCAGGGAAACCGAGUCUUAACUGGGCGUUAAGUUGCAGGGUAUAGACCCGAAACCCGGUGAUCUAGCCAUG